rnacentral:rRNA from 1 species
AGUUUGAUCCUGGCUCAGGAUGAACGCUGGCUGUGUGCCUAAUACAUGCAUGUCGAGCGAGGUUCUUUUGAACCUAGCGGCGAAUGGGUGAGUAACACGUGCUUAAUCUACCCUUUAGAUUGGAAUACCCAAUGGAAACAUUGGCUAAUGCCGGAUACGCAUGGAAUCGCAUGAUUCCGUUGUGAAAGGAGCCUUUAAAGCUCCGCUAGAGGAUGAGGGUGCGGAACAUUAGUUAGUUGGUAGGGUAAUGGCCUACCAAGACUAUGAUGUUUAGCCGGGUCGAGAGACUGAACGGCCACAUUGGGACUGAGAUACGGCCCAAACUCCUACGGGAGGCAGCAGUAGGGAAUAUUCCACAAUGAGCGAAAGCUUGAUGGAGCGACACAGCGUGCACGAUGAAGGUCUUCGGAUUGUAAAGUGCUGUUAUAGGGAAAGAACACCUGGUUGAGGAAAUGCUUCCAGGCUGACGGUACCCUGUCAGAAAGCGAUGGCUAACUAUGUGCCAGCAGCCGCGGUAAUACAUAGGUCGCAAGCGUUAUCCGGAAUUAUUGGGCGUAAAGCGUUCGUAGGCUGUUUAUUAAGUCUGGAGUCAAAUCCCAGGGCUCAACCCUGGCUCGCUUUGGAUACUGGUAAACUAGAGUUAGAUAGAGGUAAGCGGAAUUCCAUGUGAAGCGGUGAAAUGCGUAGAUAUAUGGAAGAACACCAAAGGCGAAGGCAGCUUACUGGGUCUAUACUGACGCUGAGGGACGAAAGCGUGGGGAGCAAACAGGAUUAGAUACCCUGGUAGUCCACGCCGUAAACGAUGAUCAUUAGUCGGUGGAGAGUUCACUGACGCAGCUAACGCAUUAAAUGAUCCGCCUGAGUAGUAUGCUCGCAAGAGUGAAACUUAAAGGAAUUGACGGGGACCCGCACAAGCGGUGGAGCAUGUGGUUUAAUUUGAAGAUACGCGGAGAACCUUACCCACUCUUGACAUCCUUCGCAAUGCUAUAGAGAUAUAGCGGAGGUUAACGGAGUGACAGAUGGUGCAUGGUUGUCGUCAGCUCGUGUCGUGAGAUGUUUGGUCAAGUCCUGCAACGAGCGCAACCCCUAUCUUUAGUUACUAACGAGUCAUGUCGAGGACUCUAGAGAUACUGCCUGGGUAACUGGGAGGAAGGUGGGGAUGACGUCAAAUCAUCAUGCCUCUUACGAGUGGGGCAACACACGUGCUACAAUGGUCGGUACAAAGAGAAGCAAUAUGGCGACAUGGAGCAAAUCUCAAAAAGCCGAUCUCAGUUCGGAUUGGAGUCUGCAAUUCGACUCCAUGAAGUCGGAAUCGCUAGUAAUCGCAGAUCAGCUACGCUGCGGUGAAUACGUUCUCGGGUCUUGUACACACCGCCCGUCACACCAUGGGAGCUGGUAAUACCCAAAGUCGGUUAGCUAACCUCGGAGGCGACCGCCUAAGGUAGGACUGGUGACUGGGGUGAAGUCGUAACAAGGUA